AUAAGGUCGACCUGCUGAAGUUCAAACUGAGCACCAGAAACAUGGAGAAAUAUGGGAGUUUAAGUGGCUUUAAGGUUAUUGGCAUAAACUUGGUGGCAGAUGGGCUGCGCUGUGUGUUUUAGCAACUGCUGAUCUACAGGGAUUUCCCACAGACAACCAUCUCCAGAGAGAAUUCUCUGAAAAACAGAAAAGUGAGCGGAAGUUCGGUGAGUAAAAAUAACUUUUUCAUGUCAGAGGUCAGAGGACAAUGGCCAGAGUUCUUUAGAAAGGAAGGCAAAAUAAGCCAAGGUAUGCAGAACAGCAUUGCUAAAUAUACGUUGAACCUUGAAGUAGAUGGGCAGCAGAAGACCAGACUGGGUGCUCAUCCUGUCAGCUGAAACUGUGGCAACACUUUACAUGGGCUCACCCAAACUGCUCAACAGAAAACUUGAAAAAUUUUAUAUAGUCUGACGGGUCUUUCUGCUGGCACGUUCAGAUGGUAUGGUUCAAAUUUGGCGUGAACAUGAAAAGUAUGGAUCUAUCCUGCCCUGUAUUAUGUGGUGGUGGUUUAAUGAUAUGGGGGGUAUUUUCUUGGUUCACUUUGGUCCCCUUAGUACCAACUGACCAUCACACCACAGCCUACCUGAGUAUUGUUGCUGAUCAUGCCCAUCCAGUUAUAACUACAGUGUACCCAUCUUCUGAUGGUUGCUUCUCACAGGAUAACAUACCCAUAAAGCUGACAUCAUCUCAAACUGGUUUCUUGAACAUGAGUUCACUGUACUCAAAUGGCCUCCACGGUCACAAGACGUCAGUCCAACAGAGCAUCUUUGGGACGUUGUUGUUGAAUCCAUGCCAGGAAAAAUUAAGUCAGCUCUGAAGGCAAAAGGGCUUCCAACCAGAAUUCUUCAAAUGGAGAACCAUAGUUGAUUAUACUGCCAUGUGUGGUGUUCAAAAAGAUAACACCAAUAUAAUUCCACAAGGAAAAAAGAAGCCAAAAACGUUAGUUCUUGCAACAAUAUUUGUAUUUUCUUUAUUUCACUGCAAAAACACAUGAAUGAACUGCUAACUCAUUUGCAGCAUAUGUUUUACCUGUGUUAAUACAUAACUGUAUAACUCUCCUGGUUUAAUUAUUACAUGAUGUUAAACAGUGCAAUAAAACCAGCCAAUCACUGCAAAUCAUUCAGGAUGGAAACUUUUCAAUACGUCAUUAGUCCACUUUGUUCAUAUACAUAUUUGGCAUGGCAAACACUUUUUUCUGUUUAUUAUACUCACUGUAAAAAAAUUUUUUUUAAGUAUGAUGUGUGCUCAAGGACUAAGGUGUGUUUAAAUACCAACCAGCACUGAAAUGCAUCACAACCUUCUAACAUGUUUAAAAAUAAGAAACAGCAGAAUCAACACCCAUCUAAUAUGCCUUUCAGUCAUCCCACACAAGUGCAAAUGUCAUGGAUUAUUCAGCUUCGGCUUGAACCAACAUUUA